GGGCAGGUCACUGAAGCUGAGCGACAGUGGCAUUUUCUCCGCGGCAGCCUUUCCAUUUUCAAAGAUGUCAUCAGGUAGAUUCGACUGUAGAUAAAAGAUAUCUCAUUAUUAUUUUCAAUACAAAUGACGCAUUUGGCUUGGCAUGGUUUAUUUCCAGACAGAGUGUAAGACAAUUACAGUGAAAAUACCCAGAGCUUUCAGAAUAUUAGCAUUUUAUUUGUUGAUGCCUCUGUGUGUGUGUGUAUGUGUAUGUGUGUGUCUGUGUGGCUGGCAAAAGAAAACAGACCAUCAAGAACUGUUUCUAUUGUUGAAUCUAGGUGAAAGUUCAUGCCAAUCGUCUCAAGGUUUGACAUUUUUCAAAAGAAAAGGUUGCAUGGGGGGAGGGGGCUUGUUUUCUGAAUUCCAAGAGCUCAUAAUAUUUGGCAGCCAUAGUUAUGAGUAACAUUACCAAUUCCUUUUUCUAUUUAGGCAACUAUCUUAAAAAACUUUCCAACGUCCAUGCAAUUUAGUUCCAAAGAUGUGAUGUUUUGUUCUGCUUCAAUUCUCAAAAAUUAUUCCUUUGAAAAUCUCUACCCACAAAUCCCAAGCUCUGGAAAAUGUUUUAUUAAUUUAGUAACCAUGCCAUAAAUAAUUCAAGGCCAGCCAUACAUUUGCAUAACUUCUCUAGAAAUAAGAGGAAAAGACCAAUAAAUGGAACAUCAAUCUUGCAGGAGGUACACCCCAGGGCUCUCAGGCUGCCUAGAAACACUGAGUCAUCUGUCAAGCAGACCCGGGUGGUGUCACAGGUACGCCCUGUGCUUCAUGAAGCAGAACUCUGAAGACAGAGGUCAGAAAUAUCCAGAUAUGGCAGUUUGGCCAGAAGCAAAAGAAAACUCCUGCAAGGAUGAGACCAGGGCUUUUCUAUGAGAAGCAAGAGACCACGUGAUCAUCUGUUCCUGCUUGAGUUGCAGGACAUCAAACAUCAUGAAAUUAAAACAACAAAAAUACAAUAGCUAGAUGCUACUGUCUUAACCCUUAUGGUGUUUUCCUUUUUAAAAAAUUUAACCAAAUCUUCUAUCGAAUUAAGAAUACAAACAGGCAAUUCUGAGAGAGCCUUACUGAUAGAAAAUAUGAGAGACAUCUGUGAUUUCUGAAUGACAUGAGUAAGGAUAUCUCAAUUCUCACCAAGGCAUUUCUCAUGGGGGCCAAACGUCAACUUCGAAACCCAUAGUUGUCACAGUUACAAAGCUAUGCCAUCUCCAUAAGCUAGACUGAGACCAACCCCUCUGAGACAAGACAAUUGACCCAUAGAUCAGUUGGCUGUAGCUGGGGUGACAUGCUGGCAAAAGUAAAAAAUUUCCACAAUCAAUUUAAGUGUUUGCCUAAGGCCAGGGACAGGAGCAGGCAAGGAAGCAGGGAAAACUUUUGGGGGUGGUGGAAGUGUUCUAAAACCAAAUCAUGGUGAUGGUAGCACAAAUGUAUAAAUUUACUAAAACUCAAACUGUCCACUUAAGAUGAGUAAAUGUUAUGGUAUGUGAAUUGUACAUCAAUAAAGCUGUUUAAAAAAAAUCACUACCAAUUUCUAGAAAAAGUCAUCAUUCCUUCUGCAAGAGGAAGUGCCAAGAAAUCAGGACUUGGAAAAGCUGAAUCAGUAAGCAACCAGCUGAGAGUUGCUUUCGUGAUUUGAUCCUGUCUCCCAGUGAGGCUUCAUAAGAUGUAACACCUGCCCUCAUUGCACUUUCUGAGUCAUUUCUUCAUGCCAGAUUUAGGUUCUUCCUUUCUUUUUCCCCUAACAAUGCCAUCCUGUUUAUGCUCCCCCACAUCUUGGUCAAGAGCAGAUGUAUAAUUGAGUUGUCUGAAAGAGGCAUGUGGGCCAGAUGUAAAUAGCCUGCUAUGCAAAAUGAUUAUUUAAGAUGAAUACUAAAAAUAGGUGUCUGCUUAUUAUAUGGUUACAAGGUACCUAUUACAGAGCAGUUGACUAAUCUUUUUUAAAAAGUAAAUAUAUUUAUGUCAUUGGCCUUGAAAAAAUAUGGCUGCUUUAAAAUAAAGCAACGCUAAUAUUUGCUUC